rnacentral:rRNA from 1 species
UGGUCAAGUUAUUAAGGGUGCAGGGCGGAUGCCUUGGCACUAGGAGCCGAUGAAGGACGUGAUAAGCUGCGAUAAGCUUCGGGGAGUUGCACGUAAACUUUGAUCCGAAGAUUUCCGAAUGAGGAAACUCACUUAGAGUAAUGUCUAAGUAUCAUUAAGUGAAUACAUAGCUUAAUGAGGGGAACUCAGGGAACUGAAACAUCUAAGUACCUGAAGGAAGAGAAAGAAAUUCGAUUCCGUAAGUAGCGGCGAGCGAACGCGGAUUAGCCCAAACCAAUAAAGUUUUCUUUAUUGGGGUUGCGGACAUAUCAUAACGAAGAGGUAUCGUAAUUGAAGAGGUUUGGAAAGACCCACCACAGAAGGUAAUAGUCCUGUAUGUUAAACGAGAAGACUUUAGAUAUGAUCCAGAGUACCACGGGACACGUGAAACCCUGUGGGAAGCAGGAGGGACCACCCUCCAAGGCUAAAUACUACCUAGUGACCGAUAGCGUAUAGUACCGUGAGGGAAAGGUGAAAAGAACCCCGGGAGGGGAGUGAAAUAGAACCUGAAACCCUGCACUUACAAGCUGUGGAAGCACAUUUCUUGUGUGACCGCGUACUUUUUGUAGAACGGGCCAACGAGUUACGUUAAGUAGCAAGGUUAAGCACUUAAGGUGCGGAGCCGUAGCGAAAGCGAGUUUUAACUGAGCGUUCAGUUACUUGACGUAGACCCGAAACCGGGCGACCUACCCAUGAGCAGGAUGAAGCGAAAGUAAAAUUUCGUGGAGGUCCGAACCCACGAGCGUUGAAAAGCUCGGGGAUGACUUGUGGGUAGCGGUGAAAUUCCAAUCGAGCCCGGAGAUAGCUGGUUCUCCCCGAAAUAGCUUUAGGGCUAGCCUCAAGGUGAGAGAUACGGAGGUAGAGCACUGAAUGUCCUAGGGGGUAUUGCACCUACCGAAGACUAUCAAACUCCGAAUGCCGUCAUCUUAUACUUGGGAGUCAGACUGUGGGUGAUAAGAUUCAUAGUCGAAAGGGCAACAGCCCAGAUCGUCAGCUAAGGUCCCUAAAUGUAAGUUAAGUGGUAAAGGAUGUGGGAUUGCACAGACAACCAGGAUGUUGGCUUAGAAGCAGCCACUCAUUCAAAGAGUGCGUAAUAGCUCACUGGUCGAGUGAUCCUGCGCCGAAGAUUUCCGGGGCUAAAACUUACUACCGAAGCUACGGCAUCAGUAAUGAUGGGUAGGGGAGCUUCCCAUACGGGUUGAAGCAUGACCGUAAGGACAUGUGGACAGUAUGGGAGUGAGAAUGUUGGCAUGAGUAGCGAGAUGUGGGUGAGAAUCCCACAGGCCGUAAACCCAAGGUUUCCAGGGGAAGGUUCGUCCGCCCUGGGUUAGUCGGGACCUAAGCUGAGGCCGAAAGGCGUAGGUGAUGGACAACAGGUUGAUAUUCCUGUACUACCGAUAACUGUUUGAGAGAAGGGAUGACACAGUAGGAUAAGCUAAGCACACUGUUGGUUAUGUGUGCCCAAGCAUUGAGGCAGUCAAAGUAGGCAAAUCCGCUUUGAUAAUGCUGGGAUGUGAUGGGGAGCGAAAUUUAGUAGCGAAGUAGCUGAUUUCACACUGUCAAGAAAAGUCUCUAUCGAGGUUAAAGGUACCCGUACCGCAAACCGACACAGGUGGGUGAGGAGAGUAUCCUAAGGCCAGCGAGAGAACUGUUGUUAAGGAACUCGGCAAAAUGACCCCGUAACUUAGGGAUAAGGGGUGCCACCAUUAGGUGGCCGCAGAGAAUAGGCCCAAGCGACUGUUUACCAAAAACAUAGGUUUCUGCUAAGUCGCAAGACGAUGUAUAGGAGCUGACGCCUGCCCGGUGCUGGAAGGUUAAGGGGAUCUGUUAGAGCAAUCGAAGCAGUGAACUUAAGCCCCAGUAAACGGCGGCCGUAACUAUAACGGUCCUAAGGUAGCGAAAUUCCUUGUCGGGUAAGUUCCGACCCGCACGAAAGGCGUAACGAUUUGGGCACUGUCUCAACAACAGACUCGGUGAAAUUGUAAUUCCGGUGAAGAUGCCGGAUACCUGCGACAGGACGGAAAGACCCCAUGGAGCUUUACUGUAGCUUGACAUUGGGUCUUGGUACUACAUGUACAGGAUAGGUGGGAGGCUUUGAAACCAGGACGCCAGUUUUGGCGGAGCCAUCCUUGGGAUACCACCCUUGUAGUACUGGGACUCUAACCAUAGGCCAUGAAUCUGGUCUUGGGACACUGUCAGGUGGGCAGUUUGACUGGGGCGGUCGCCUCCCAAAAGGUAACGGAGGCGCUCAAAGGUUCUCUCAGUACGGUCGGAAAUCGUACGUAGAGUGUAAAGGCAAAAGAGAGCUUGAUUGCAAGACAUACAGGUCGAGCAAGGAUGAAAAUCGGACUUAGUGAUCCGGUGGUUCUGCGUGGAAGGGCCAUCGCUCAACGGAUAAAAGCUACCCUGGGGAUAACAGGCUUAUCUCCCCCAAGAGUCCACAUCGACGGGGAGGUUUGGCACCUCGAUGUCGGCUCAUCACAUCCUGGGGCUGUAGUAGGUCCCAAGGGUUGGGCUGUUCGCCCAUUAAAGUGGUACGCGAGCUGGGUUCAGAACGUCGUGAGACAGUUCGGUCCCUAUCCGUCGCAGGCGUAGGAAAUUUGAGAAGACCUGUCCUUAGUACGAGAGGACCGGGAUGGACGUACCUCUGGUGUACCAGUUGUUCUGCCAAGGGCAUGGCUGGGUAGCUAUGUACGGAAUGGAUAAGCGCUGAAAGCAUCUAAGCGCGAAGCCAACUUCAAGAUAAGAUUUCCCACCGCAAGGGUAAGACCCCAGAAAGACUAUCUGGUUGAUAGGUCGAAGGUGUAAGUGCAGCAAUGUAUUUAGCUUAUCGAUACUAAUAGGUCGAGGACUUGACCAAU